CCUAGUAUUCUAUUUAUUGCGCGGGCGCAUCGGCGCCCGGCGCAUAUAUUGAUUGUUUUAGAAGUGUCCCUGGUGCAAUGGGCUUGCGCAUGCGGCGUUUUCAUUGUUUUGAUCGCGCAUGCGCCGUUUCUUACCGUCCGCUCUCGGAUAAUUCCGAAGCAGUUCGCCAUUAGACUGGUUCCUGUUCGAUUUUGCAAUAGAAGAUUGGUAAUCUUCUAAUAUGUGAAGCUUUGAAAAUAUAAGGCAAAUUAAAACCAGAGAUUUUUUUAAAUAACUCUUUGAGAGAAAAAAUAUCAUAAAUGCACAGUUGUUGAGAAAACUUCUCUUUUUUUAUUUAAAUAUUUCUACAUAAAAGAAUAAACCACGAAUGCGCAGAAUGUAUCUUACAAUAAUCUUAGAAAAUCGGUGAACCAGUCUGUUAUCUGAUUACCCGGUUAUGACACGUACGGGUCAGAUGCAAGCGUCCAGUAGACUAGGGAUAUCGAGGUCAACACGCUGGCGGUUGGGGAAAGGUAUUUUCAUUUUCUUGUUACGAUGUGAACUGAAAAACUAUUGUUAUUUUAUAUAUAUCAUUUUAAAAACAGGUUUCGUGUCUUUCGAUUUAAACAGUAGCACGGUUUUUUUGCGGUAUUCCUACUUUCAUUUUGGACAACAUUUGAAGGCUUUUCCAAAUUGCGUCAUUAAAACCUGGAAUGAUAGCCGUCCAAUGAAAACGCUUCUUGCAUUUCAGAUAUAGGCGAGUGUGCGGUCAAGGUCAAAAUUGCGAGAGGGUGAUUCGAAGAGAAAUACCGCAACAAAAACGUUCGAUUUGGACAUUAACGCGUCUAACUGAAUGAGUCACAAUGUUUCUACCACAAGAGUUGUAAAUAUUGAACAGAAAGGGCUUCAUCUUCAAGAUGAAAACUGCAAAAAAUGUUGGCCCAACAAUAAUGGGCCAGGACUGAGGAGUUCCAAGAAAUGAGUAUUCUUCAGCCCACAAAUAUCAGUGCUGCCCCGCUGCCCAAAACCAGAGUGUGGCAACAAGUAAAUGGACCUUGACAAAUGUCCUCCAUGUUAGAGCCAGUCCCUUACACAAGUGACCUACUUUUGCACAGCUGAGGUUGUUAUCAAACGCAGCAGUAGGUAUGAAAUGCGGAAACUGUUCCAACUUGAUCUUCAACAGUUGAGUUACUCCUCAUCACAAUACCUGAACUGAAAACAAUCGGUGAAGAUCCUGCACUUCACUUCUACCUCACAGUGCUCUUCCCUAUAAACGCUAGAGGAAAGUUUGAAAAUGAAAAACUUGUCAUUGCAAGAAAGGACCAAUUGAUUCUUAACGAAACAACCUGCCUCAAUGCUUUAGCUGACACUACAUCAAGUCAACACAAGGCAAUUUGUUUUUCUCGCAACCUGACCGGUAUGUUGAAUCUGAUCAAAAUUGUACACAACCACUGGUCAAGAAUAUAGAAAUACAAGUUGUAUGAUCAGUAACCUAAAAUAUUCUUGAAUAUUUGAACAUAAUAAAAGAGUAUUUUUUAAAGUUAUACAUAUUGUGUGUAGUGUAGGUAAGAUCAAUGUCAAGGUUAUUUUGGCUAAAAAAAAGGAAAAUGAGUCUUGAUUCAUAACAUCGAUGAAAUAGCAAGCCUUAAGUAUUUUCGAUAAAGUGAUACAUAUAUUUUGUGGUGAUGUCAUAACCUUGUUUCACUGUUUUUGAAGAGAAAACACAUGUUAUAAAUAUAUUAUCACAUUUGUGUUUUUUUAGCUCGACUAUUUUAAGAAUAAGGUGGGCUAUACUAUUCGCUCUGGUGUCGGUGUCCGGUUCAAGUUUUAGGGCAAGUUGGGAUUUUCACUUAUAAGUCCAAUACCCUUCAUUCAAUUGACUUAAUACCUCACACAGUUGUUCAGGGCCAUCAUAUAAUGGGAAUAGAUAACUCCUUUAUACAAGUUAUGGCCCCUGAUUGACUAUCAAACUUAGGUUAAAGUUUUAGGGCAGGUUGGGAUAUUUAUUAAUAACUUCUCUACCAUUCGUUCAUUUAACUUAAUACUUGACACAUUUGUUCAGGAUCAUCACACAAUGAGGUUACAUAACUCUGUAUUAUCCUCAAUACAAGUUAUAGCCCCUGAUUGACUUAGGUUAAAGGUUUAGGGCAGGUUAAAGUUUUAGAACAAGUUGGGAUUUUCACUAAUAAGUCCAAUACCCUUCAUUCAAUUGACUUAAUACUUUACACAGUUGUUCAGUGCCAUCACAUAAUUAGGUAUGAUAACUCCAUAUCAUAUUUUAUUCACAUAAUGGCCCCUGAUUGACUAUGGAACUUAGGUUAAAAUUUUAGGGCAGGUUGAUAUAUUUAUUGAUAACUUCUAUACCCUUCAUUCAUAUUAUCCUUAAUACAAGUUAUGGCCCCUGAUUGACUUAGGUUAAAGUUUUAGGGCAAGUUGGGAUUUUAAUAAAAAAAACUUCUAUACCUUCAUUCAAUGCACUUAAUACUUCGCAUAAUUAUUGACGACCAUCUUACACUUAGGAACAUAACUUCAUGUUAACCCUAAAUACAAAUUAUUGCCCUUGAAUGUUUUUUUUUCUUUUUAACUCUUCUUUUAAUUUCUUUUGAAAGGCACAUUUUUAUAUUCCUAACCACAUUUUCAUAAAGGGAAAACAAGAUAUUUGAAUGACCUGUGUCAUUGUUCGGGCGGGCUGGUGUUAGAGCAGCGUCAAAGUCACCUUAUGUAUCGAAUAAUUUUAGCUAGGUUUGACAUAAAGAGACCAAACUUGGUAUAUGCAAAGAGUUUAUGGAGACCUUUUAUGGGAAUGCGUUUGAGGCCCCUAUGAUCAAGGUCAAGGUUACUAUUAAUAGAAAAAGGGUUGGUUUUGAAUAACUUAAGUAAGGAUCUUCUAAUUGGUACCAAAUUUGGUAUAUAGGAAGAGUUUAUAGAGACCUUUCUUGAGAUUGUGUUUUUGGCCCCGAGAGUUAUGGUCUAGGUCAAGGUCAAAAUAGAAAUAUGGUAAGUACUGAAUAACUCAAGGAAGGGUUGACAUAGUGUGACCAAACUUGGUAUAUAGGACAAGUUUAUGCAGAGCUUUAAUGGAUGCUUUUUGGCCCCCUAGGGUCGUUGUCACUGUUACUAAAAAUAGAUUACUGUUUCAGUUAAGGCUCACAUACUGUGACCAAACUUGAUAUUUGUAGGAAGAGUUUAUAGCGCGGACACGAGUAUGUGUACUCUGACAUUUAAAUAUCUCGUGUGACUUUGAUCUUUAUGGACCCUGGUCAAUGUCACUGCUCAUCGUCUCAAUGAGGACAACAUUUGUACCAAGCAAUAUAUGGUAAUCCAUCAAUGCAUAAGUAAGCUAUAGCACAGACACGAAAUGUUACAGCCAGAUGGACAGACAGACUGAUGAAGUGUUUCUGUAAUCCCCUCCCCACUCUGUGGCGGGAGAUUUGAAAUUUGAUAUUUAUAAAAUAGUGUACUUCCAUUUUUGCCUAUGUUGUGUUUUACCAUUCUGUCAAUAUGUUAAGUGACAGUUGUGCCAAUAUCUUACAUUAUUUAAUAACCUCAUCAUAAUGAUUACUUAUCUUCCUAUUGUUUUCUUAAAUGUUCUGCAAUUUCAAUAAUUAUUUACAAAACAUGUUCCUAAAAUCAGAGACAUUUGACAGUAUUAUAAGACUUCUCAUUCAAGGUUUUGUCUAUCUGAACACUGAUGUUUGCAUAAUGCUCUGUAGAUAUCACUAUGCUUUUGCUAAGUUUAAUUCCCAUUAAUGUUUAAAUUAAUUUCUCAUAUGUACAUAUAUUUAACAAUGUUCUGUUUUUCAACAUCUCACUUAAACAGUUACAAAAUGUUAAUUUACAAGAAAUACUUGUAUUUAUAUCACUAUGUCAUUUUGCCAUGUCACCAUUCUUUACUACCUGUUAUGCUUAAAGCUGCAUUCUCACAGAUUUACCAUUUGUACAACUUUUUUUAUUGUUUGUCUUGGAAAGCGCAAAUUUUGUGUUAAUAUCCGCAAACAAAUGAUUUAAGAUUACUGACAAAAGAUCAAAUCACAGAUUUUCAUAUUUCCAUUUGAAAAUUAAUGUCUUAUGGCUUAAGCUGUUACUAACAGUUUAAGAAAAUUGCAUAAAACAUCAAUUUUUGAACUUAAGUAUAAAAAUCUGCAAUCUUUUUUUGUCAACAGUCUUAUAUAACUGGUUUCAAUGGAUUUUCGCAAAAUAUGGCUCGUUCUAACUCAAAAAAUGAAAAAGUUGUCAAAACGUUCAAUCUGUGAGAGUGCAGCUUUAACUCUGAUGAAUAUAUCAUUCAAUGUCUCUUUUAUAGGCACUGACUCUCCAUUUACAAACAUUAGAAUUCAUAAUGCUUAAAAAAGUAUGCCUGUUUCAACUUCUCAACUUACCCUGCUUUUUUUUGCAUGACCCUUAACCAUUCUAUUGUGUGUUGUUGUUUUUCAUUUUCGUGAUUUAUGACUUUUCAAACUUUAAAAAAUAAUGGCCUUUUGGCUAUCAACCAUAUUAGCAAUGCUUAUACUGAUAAUAUAAAACUCCAGGCAUAUCAUUUAUAGUUUUGGGUUUGACAACUUUCAAAUUUUAAGUUAGUACAUCAUUUAACAAAUAUACCUAUAUUCAACCCAAUUCAUUCCAACAUUACAACUGAAACUGAGUCUUUUUAAGCCCCCCCCCCAUGUAAAAGAUAUUUAUCACCCUAUAAAUAGUUUCAUUCAAAUACUGUGCAUUUGCAUACUAGGUACAUAUUACUAGGUUUUCAUGCAUUUUCAUUUAUAUUCUUUUCUUUCAUACCUGUUCUAUUUCAUUGCUUAUGAAAUAGUGGCGGCAUGUAUUUUAGUAUUGUAUUAAUUUGUCUGUGUGCAUUCUUAUUCCAAGUAUUGGUCAUAAUGUAUAUGUCGCACUUACACCAAAUUAUAACAAAUAUUCUUUCUAUUGUUUAUUACAUUUCAGUACAACUCUGCCAUUCCCAGCAUACAUACUAACUCUGUAUAUUUUGUUAUCAUGCUUAUUACUCUUUGUUGUAUACAAAAUGUAUAUAAAAUGUCAUAUUGCUCAUGUUCUUUCUUGUUUGUACAUAUGUUCACAUUUCAGUAAUACUCAAUGCAGUAUUUAUUCUUAUAUUUCAAUGUCAUAUUUUAAAGAAUUGAGAAGUUUUACAGGCAAAAUAACAUUAACACAUUUCCACCAAACUUUGUACAAAUGCUUCACUUUUCAUGUAUUAAAACAUAUUCCUCACUUCAUUUCAUUGUAACCUAUAAUUUUCAGCACAUUCUUCAUAAAUCUUUGGUGUCAUUAUAUUUCCAUACACAUUAAGUGAUCAACUUCCUAGUCAUACCACUAUCAACCUGCAUCACAUUCUGCUCAUCAUUCUUAUAUCUUAUGCCUUAAAAGUGCAUAAUGCAUGAUGAUUACAUAAUGUUUAUUACCUAUAAGUGUCAGUAUAUGCUUAACUUGUUUCCUUUGUUUAAAACAGACUGCAUGCCUAUAAAUCAUCUACGCCACAGAACAAGGAAAAUGACAUUAAUAAUGAUGAUCAGACUUCUUUCUUUCAGCUCAUGUAUAACCAACUUUUAGUUUAUGUUAAAUGUAUUUUUUUUUUAAUUGUGUUAAAAUCUGUUACAUAAGCAAACAGUUGUAUGUGUUUUUCAGUUAGAAACAAUGGAUUUGUAACACUAAAUUAUAACGGUCAACUUGUUUGGCGAAUUAUUAGCAAAAAGUAAACAUUGUUUUAAGCAGAUGUCCUUAAUUAGUUUUUUGAAUAAACCUUUGGUGCUACUCCUGUUUAAAGUCAACAUUUCACCAAAGUACUUCAAAUUCUCAACGUUUCGAACUUUGCCCAGAAUUUACCAAAUCAUGUUGGCAUAUUUAACAUUUCAGCUAUCAUAUCAGCCACUCCAAAAGAAAACCACCACUGUGGCCAUGUUGUCUUUUAUAAAUGUGUGUAUAUUGAUACAGUUCAUGAAUAAAGUUAUUUGAUACAA